rnacentral:rRNA from 1 species
AGUGAACGCUGGCGGUAGGCCUAACACAUGCAAGUCGAACGGCAGCACAGUAAGAGCUUGCUCUUACGGGUGGCGAGUGGCGGACGGGUGAGGAAUACAUCGGAAUCUACUUUUUCGUGGGGGAUAACGUAGGGAAACUUACGCUAAUACCGCAUACGACCUACGGGUGAAAGCAGGGGAUCUUCGGACCUUGCGCGAUUGAAUGAGCCGAUGUCGGAUUAGCUAGUUGGCGGGGUAAAGGCCCACCAAGGCGACGAUCCGUAGCUGGUCUGAGAGGAUGAUCGGCCACACUGGAGCUGAGACACGGUCCAGACUCCUACGGGAGGCAGCAGGGGGGAAUAUUGGACAAUGGGCGCAAGCCUGAUCCAGCCAUACCGCGUGGGUGAAGAAGGCCUUCGGGUUGUAAAGCCCUUUUAUUGGGAAAGAAAAGAAGCAGGUUAAUACCCCGCUGUUUUGACGGUACCCAAAGAAAAAGCCCCGGCUAACUUCGUG